AUGGUCGACGACGCCGAGGCUGCUGCCGCCGCCGCCGCGUUGGCCUGGCCAUCGAGAGGGUAUGAUCUAUUAAUCCCUCGUUUACUCGUACUUGUGCUAGCCGUAUAUGUGCUGCUUAUAGAUGGUUCGCUUCUAUGUUCUGUACAUGCUAAGAAAGAUAUUGGGCAGCUCCCAGCCCCCAGUCCUCACACGCAAUCCUCCUCUCUCAUCCGGCCUCUCACGCUCACUGUCGACCCUCAGCCAUGGCUAGGGUUUCGGGCGCGGCGUCCCCUUCGUCACCGGCGAGGCUCUGGCGGCCUACGGUGGCUCGUCCCGCCCACGUGUGGCUCUGUCUCAUGGACGUUCCUCCCGCGCCCGACGGCCACGGGUGGUCGUGGCGACGACCUCUUCAGCGGCGUCGCCGGACUAGCUCCACGCGCGGGAAAGGCAUCUCUGCGGGUUCCCCAAGGUGAGUGCGAUGCCGAGGAGAGAUGGCGUCGAGGACAGCAUCCGAGGACAUCAUCACGCUCAACGGCUUCGCCCCCAUCAUCAUCGAGUUCUUUGGUACGCACGCGCCACCACUCGAUCACCCUUCCCCUCCACCACUCUCUUGUGUUUGAUCGAGUGAUUCGGUGGCAGGUUACGUGGCAAACAGGUGUGCGACCGGCCGGCAAUCAGCGGCGCCAUCUCUAUCCCCCGACACUAGAUAAUGGCAUGGCUAAUGGCCUGCGCGGCGCGCCAUUAAUGCCCGUGCUCCCAGGCCAGUGCGGGCCGUCGCAGCUGCUUGCUCAAGGCGGCGUGCGGACUGCCUGGCAUUAUCGAUUAGUAGAUCACUGGCUCACCGUGGUGUUCGGGCUGCUUGCCAUGCCGGCCGGAGCGCCCAUACAUGUGUUCAAGAACCUCCAGUGUGCGGCGAUUGCCACGCCGCAAUCAAGAUGGUCGCCAAGGCGUACGACAGAGAGACGACACGGCCAUGCCAUGAAGGUUGGAGAGGACAAGAAACUUGGAAUGUUUUUGUGCUUGGAUCUCGUUCGGAAGUACUACAUCAUGCAAUACCCAAGUAAGUGGCGUCACCUGAUGAGCUCCACGCGCAGAGGAGGCGUCUCCAUGGGUUCCCCGAGACUACGAUCCAUGGUGGCUGUUGAGAAAUCUUCACUUUGGAACUUGAUAAAAGAUGUAAAACCUUCGGAUCUAAGUAUAGUCCAUAGAGAUGUCCCUCCUGAAACUGUUGAUGCAAUGAAAAGGACUGUUUCAGGCAUAUUGGGUCUGCUUCCGUCUGAUAAGUACCUUGAUCAACUUGGAAUGGCAUCGAAGUACAACACAAAAGUGUUCUGCAGGCGGACUCUCAUCAGAGGCAACUACGAACGUGGCUCAUAUGUGUUGAUCCCUCCUUCUGUUCUCAGUGCUCUGCUAGGGCAUCGGCUUAUGGGCAAUGGAGUUCUCUCAGUUGAUAUAAAUGCACCGCGCAAGCUGCGUGCUUAUGCUCACUUCAGCAAGCGACACUUACUUGUGUCUGAAGAGUUACUUCAACUACCAUUGAAACAUCAGCUUGAUCAAUCAUUUCUGCUGUUCUCAGCAAAGCUUUGCAUAUUCCACAAUGCAGAAAGGUGUCAUACUCCUCCUGUUCAACCUAAGCAGCAGCACUGGAGGCGCAGCGGCGGCCUCAGAAGAGCGGUGUCAUGGCUGGGAAGCAAGCCGUUGAGUGAGAGCACGAAGAGGAAUGAGUACCAUCUAAACGCCAAGGGCGGCGACCACCAGAGUAGGACGAUGCUGCUGAAUGGCGUCCAGCUGGAGUUGGCAGGCGAUGGCUGCGUCCCGGUCCUGAACCUCGUGCCGUCCGCGUGGAUUCGACCGUGCACCUGGCCCCGACGUCAAUUGCGUUUGUGGUCCUACCGAGGUUCGAGGCCAAGGCCUGUUCUCAAGGGAAGAAGGUUCUUUUGUUCGUUUUGUGGUGUAAGGUAG
rnacentral:rRNA from 1 species